rnacentral:tRNA from 1 species
GGGUGUAGCGCAGUUGGUAGCGCGCUUGGUUCGGGACCAAGAGGUCGUGGGUUCAAAUCCCGCCACU